GCGGCAGCAGCAGGAACAGAGCAUCUCUUAGAUGGGAGAAAAAAAAUCUUACGUGGUGGUUCUAUGCAUGAAGGAGCAGAAAAAGAGGUGACUGGAAAUGCUGUGAGAUGAUGGGACACAAGGCACCAAGUGACAAUCAUCAUUCUGCAUGUUGAAAAAUGCUGCUAUGACAGUACAGUCCGAUUGCUUUUCUGGCACAAGUAACAAGUAGGUCAUCUGCAAAUGUGUCGCUUGGGUCUGCACUGACAAUUGACAGAUGUAUUUGGUUUGCACACAAGUCUCCAGGCCCCCCA
rnacentral:lncRNA from 1 species